rnacentral:rRNA from 1 species
GAUGAACGCUGGCGGCGUGCUUAACACGUGCAAGUCGAACGAUGAAGCCCAGCUUGCUGGGUGGAUUAGUGGCGAACGGGUGAGUAACACGUGAGUAACCUGCCCUUGACUCUGGGAUAAGCCUGGGAAACUGGGUCUAAUACUGGAUAUGACUUCUCAUCGCAUGGUGGGGGGUGGAAAGAUUUAUUGGUCUUGGAUGGACUCGCGGCCUAUCAGCUUGUUGGUGAGGUAAUGGCUCACCAAGGCGACGACGGGUAGCCGGCCUGAGAGGGUGACCGGCCACACUGGGACUGAGACACGGCCCAGACUCCUACGGGAGGCAGCAGUGGGGAAUAUUGCACAAUGGGCGCAAGCCUGAUGCAGCGACGCCGCGUGAGGGAUGACGGCCUUCGGGUUGUAAACCUCUUUCAGUAGGGAAGAAGCGAGAGUGACGGUACCUGCAGAAGAAGCGCCGGCUAACUACGUG